rnacentral:rRNA from 1 species
UGCGUAGGCGGAAUAUUAAGUCAGUGGUGAAAUCCUGCGGCUCAACCGUAGAACUGCCAUUGAUACUGAUAUUCUUGAAUGUAGUUGAGGUAGGCGGAAUGUGGAAUGUAGCGGUGAAAUGCUUAGAUAUUACACAGAACACCGAUUGCGAAGGCAGCUUACUAAACUAUGAUUGACGCUGAGGCACGAAAGCGUGGGGAGCGAACAGGAUUAGAUACCCUGGUAGUC